AGGCUGACGAGAGUGGCGGAGAGGGCAUUUUCCGUGAGCAGGACGAGUUCGUCAUCCGCGCAGAGGACAUCCUUUCCCUCAAGGACACAAACCUGUAACAGAACUGCAGACAUCAAGCAUGGCUUCAAGCAUUCAGGGUUGCUUUGAAGACUAACCAGCAACACAGUUUGACAAGCCAUCGUCAAACUGCCUGGGGCAAUGUAACGUAACAAUGAGUAAUAUGGAUGAAGCACUUACUGUGAGCUGCCUUUUCUCCUUAAUCCUCAUUACAAAUCUAUGGGUAAGUACUCUUAAUAUUCACAUUUUGUAAACAGAAGAAUUGGAAGCAUAAGGAGAUUAUGUGAAUUUGCCCAAGAUCACACAGCUACUCAGGGGUGGAGCCAGGUUUGAACCUACAAUGUGUGGCUCCUGAGUGCUCACUUUCAACCACUAAUUUUCAGUGCCCAGUACAGUUAGCUGCUAAUUGUGAGUCUUCACAUUUCAGCAUUCCAAGGGACUUCUGGAGACCAUUCUUUAACCCAAAGACCAGGGUCCUCUGUGGGUAUGGGUGUGGGGGCUGCAAUGAGAACAUUUGGAAGUUGACACAGGUGGUGUUGUGGGGAGCAGCCUGUUUUUCUUGUGGGAGACUUCCUUGGGCUUACUACUCCUUCUUAGUUCAUUUCAUGAGCUCUAGGUCCAGGCACCUCCAGGAAGAACUCUUUGGAAUGGCAGCAAGGAGUCACUUGCCACAGAUUUGGAUGCCUGUAUUCACCAAGGGAGUCUCUUACCAAGAGACUUCAAAUAGCUCCCCUCUUUCCCACCUGGAAUUCCAGGCAGAGGUGGAGAAAAUAAUUUCUCAGCUGCAAAAUUAUUCUUUGUUCCUUCCUCCCCACUGAGUUUCCUUUCCCCAUUGCAAGGACGGAGUUCCCAAU
rnacentral:lncRNA from 1 species